AGCGAACGCUGGCGGCAAGCUUAACACAUGCAAGUCGAACGAUGCAGCAAUAGAUAGUGGCGGACGGGUGCAUAACACGAGGGAACCUGCCCUUCAGUACGGAAUAACUCAGGGAAACUUGAGCUAAUACCGUAUAAUAUCUCCGGAUCAAAGAUUUAUCGCUGAAGGAUGAGCCCGCGGCAGAUUAGCUAGUUGGUGGGGGAAUGGACUACCAAGGGAACGAUCUGUUGCUGGUCUUAGAGGAUGAUCAGCCACACUGGGACUAGGACACGGCCCAGACUCCUACGGGAGGCAGCAGUGGGGAAUAUUGGACAAUGGGCGAAAGCCUGAUCCAGCUAUGCCGCGUGAGUGAUGAAGGCCUUAGGGUUGUAAAGUUCUUUUAGAUGGGAAGAUAAUGACGGUACCAUCAGAAAAAGCCCCGGCUAACUUCGUGCCAGCAGCCGCAGUAA
rnacentral:rRNA from 1 species